GAAAGUGUUGAUGUACCUCAACAACGGGGAAGCUUGGAUUGCGGGGUGUUCUUGAUGGCGUACAUGUUUAGCCUCAUAUCCGGUCAACCAAUUGCAAUUGACCAAAAGGAUUGUGCAAGACAUAGAGCUCGUAUUGUUGCUCUAUUUCUAUUUGAAGGAAAUCAACCAACAUGAUCCUCAAGACCAAUUCCCCGGUUGCUACAUGCCAAUUGUGAUAUCCAAUAUUUUUU